rnacentral:rRNA from 1 species
AUUGAACGCUGGCGGCAGGCCUAACACAUGCAAGUCGAAUGGUAACAGGAAACAGCUUGCUUUUUCGCUGACGAGUGGCGGACGGGUGAGUAAUGUCUGGGAAACUGCCUGAUGGAGGGGGAUAACUACUGGAAACGGUAGCUAAUACCGCAUAACGUCGCAAGACCAAAAAGGGGGACCUUCGGGCCUCUUGCCAUCGGAUGUGCCCAGAUGGGAUUAGCUAGUAGGUGGGGUAACGGCUCACCUAGGCGACGAUCCCUAGCUGGUCUGAGAGGAUGACCAGCCACACUGGAACUGAGACACGGUCCAGACUCCUACGGGAGGCAGCAGUGGGGAAUAUUGCACAAUGGGCGCAAGCCUGAUGCAGCCAUGCCGCGUGUAUGAAGAAGGCCUUCGGGUUGUAAAGUACUUUCAGCGGGGAGGAAGGGAGUAAAGUUAAUACCUUUGCUCAUUGACGUUACCCGCAGAAGAAGCACCGGCUAACUCCGUG